UGUGGAGUAUGUAGCCAAAGGCGGAGCCCCGGGGCCUGGAGUGCUCUGCUGUGGGCUGAGCCUUUAGCUGAAGCUCGCUCAGCAGGACUGGGCAGGUGGAUGGAGGAGCCUGGUGAUAAACUCUGGGACGAAUCUGGAACUGGGUUUGGGGACAGAGCUCUCAGCCCGUGACUGCCCUCACAGUCUUCCCCAACCCCCACAGGCAACAGGACCUGUACCGAAUCCUGAAGGCCUACACCAUCUACCGGCCUGACGAGGGUUACUGCCAGGCCCAGGCCCCCGUGGCUGCGGUCCUGCUCAUGCACAUGCCUGCGGAGCAAGCCUUUUGGUGCCUGGUGCAGAUCUGCGACAAGUACCUCCCAGGUUACUACAGUGCAGGGCUGGAGGCCAUUCAGCUGGACGGGGAGAUCUUUUUUGCACUCCUGCGCCGGGCCUCCCCGCUGGCGCAUCGCCACCUGCGGCGGCAGCGCAUUGACCCUGUGCUCUACAUGACGGAGUGGUUCAUGUGCAUCUUCGCCCGCACCCUGCCCUGGGCGUCGGUGCUGCGUGUCUGGGACAUGU
rnacentral:sRNA from 1 species